rnacentral:rRNA from 1 species
UGGGGAAUAUUGCACAAUGGGCGCAAGCCUGAUGCAGCAACGCCGCGUGAGGGACGACGGCCUUCGGGUUGUAAACCUCUUUUGGCAGGGAAGAAGCGAAAGUGACGGUACCUGCAGAAAAAGCACCGGCUAACUACGUGCCAGCAGCCGCGGUGAUACGUAGGGUGCAAGCGUUGUCCGGACUUAUUGGGCGUAAAGAGCUCGUAGGCGGUGUGUCGCGUCUGCUGUGAAAACCCGAGGCUCAACCUCGGGCCUGCAGUGGGUACGGGCAAACUAGGGUGCGGUAGGGGAGAUUGGAAUUCCUGGUGAAGCGGUGGAAUGCGCAGAUAUCAGGAGGAACACCGAUGGCGAAGGCAGAUCUCUGGGCCGUAACUGACGCUGAGGAGCGAAAGCAUGGGGAGCGAACA